rnacentral:rRNA from 1 species
UGCCCUAGUAACGGCGAGUGAAGCGGCAACAGCUCAAAUUUGAAAUCUGGCCCUAGGCCCGAGUUGUAAUUUGCAGAGGAUGCUUUUGGCAAAGCGCUUACCGAGUCCCCUGGAACGGGGCGCCACAGAGGGUGAGAGCCCCGUAUGGUAUGACGCCGAGCCUCUGUAAAGCUCCUUCGACGAGUCGAGUAGUUUGGGAAUGCUGCUCUAAAUGGGAGGUAAAUUUCUUCUAAAGCUAAAUACCGGCCAGAGACCGAUAGCGCACAAGUAGAGUGAUCGAAAGAUGAAAAGCACUUUGAAAAGAGGGUUAAAUAGCACGUGAAAUUGUUGAAAGGGAAGCGCUCGUGACCAGACUUGCGCCGGGCGGAUCAUCCAGCGUUCUCGCUGGUGCACUCCGCCCGGCUCAGGCCAGCAUCGGUUUUCGCCGGGGGACAAAAGCUCCGGGAACGUGGCUCCCUUCGGGGAGUGUUAUAGCCCGUUGCUUAAUACCCCGGCGGGGACCGAGGACCGCGCUUCGGCAAGGAUGCUGGCGUAAUGGUCAUCAGCGACCCGUCUUGAAACACGGACCGAGGAGUCAAGCAUUAGUGCGAGUGUUUGGGUGUAAAACCCGCACGCGUAAUGAAAGUGAACGUAGGUGAGAGCUUCGGCGCAUCAUCGACCGAUCCUGAUGUUUUCGGAUGGAUUUGAGUAGGAGCAUUAACGCUUGGACCCGAAAGAUGGUGAACUAUACUUGAAUAGGGUGAAGCCA